rnacentral:rRNA from 1 species
GAUGAACGCCGGCGGUGUGCCUAAUACAUGCAAGUCGUACGCACUGGCCCAACUAAUUGAUGGUGCUUGCACCCGAUUGACGAUGGAUCACCAGUGAGUGGCGGACGGGUGAGUAACACGUAGGUAACCUGCCCCGGAGCGGGGGAUAACAUUUGGAAACAGAUGCUAAUACCGCAUAACAACAAAAGCCGCAUGGCUUUUGUUUGAAAGAUGGCUUUGGCUAUCACUCUGGGAUGGACCUGCGGUGCAUUAGCUAGUUGGUAAGGUAACGGCUUACCAAGGCGAUGACGCAUAGCCGAGUUGAGAGACUGAUCGGCCACAAUGGAACUGAGACACGGUCCAUACUCCUACGGGAGGCAGCAGUAGGGAAUCUUCCACAAUGGGCGCAAGCCUGAUGGAGCAACACCGCGUGAGUGAAGAAGGGUUUCGGCUCGUAAGGCUCUGUUGUUGGAGAAGAACGUGCGUGAGAGUAACUGUUCACGCAGUGACGGUAUCCAACCAGAAAGUCGCGGCUAACUAC